GAUGAAGAACGUAGCGAAAUGCGAUACUUGGUGUGAAUUGCAGAAUCCCGUGAACCAUCGAGUCUUUGAACGCAAGUUGCGCCCGAAGCCAUUAGGCCGAGGGCACGCCUGCCUGGGCGUCACACGUCGUUGCCCCCCCAUCUACUCCUUCGGGAUUGCGGGGGGCGGAUGAUGGCCUCCCGUGCGCCUCGCCGCGCGGUUGGCAUAAAUGCCAAGUCCUCGGCGACGCACGCCACGACAAUCGGUGGUUGCGAAACCUCGGUUGCCCGUCGUGUGCGGUCGUCGCGCAUCGAGGGCUCGAAAAAAUUGCCGGGUUCCGGCUCGGCUUUCAACGCGACCCCAGGUCAGCCGGGGUUACCCGCUGAAUUUAAGCAUAUCAAUAAGCGGAGGA
rnacentral:misc_RNA from 1 species